rnacentral:misc_RNA from 1 species
AACGCACGAGACCUGCGGACCUGCGGAAGGAUCAUUACAUGAUUUGAGGGGGCUCACGUCCCCUCAUCCAACCCACAAACCCCGAGGAACUUUUAUGUCGAGUGGUUCGGCGCUCUCUUUGAGAGCCGCCCCUCAAACGCAUCGCAGGCUUUUCGUGAAGGUCUGAUGUGCCACAUCGUGAGUAUUAAAACUUUCAACAAUGGAUCUCU